rnacentral:rRNA from 1 species
AUUGAACGCUGGCGGCAUGCCUUACACAUGCAAGUCGAACGGUAACAGGUCUUCGGAUGCUGACGAGUGGCGAACGGGUGAGUAAUACAUCGGAACGUGCCUAGUAGUGGGGGAUAACUACUCGAAAGAGUGGCUAAUACCGCAUGAGAUCUACGGAUGAAAGCAGGGGAUCGCAAGACCUUGUGCUACUAGAGCGGCCGAUGGCAGAUGAGGUAGUUGGUGGGAUAAAAGCUUACCAAGCCGACGAUCUGUAGCUGGUCUGAGAGGACGAUCAGUCACACUGGGACUGAGAAACGGCCCAGACUCCUACGGGAGGCAGCAGUGGGGAAUUUUGGACAAUGGGCGCAAGCCUGAUCCAGCAAUGCCGCGUGCAGGAUGAAGGCCUUCGGGUUGUAAACUGCUUUUGUACGGAACGAAAAGCCCCGGGUUAAUACCCUGGGGUCAUGACGGUACCGUAAGAAUAAGCACCGGCUAACUACGUGCCAGCCGCCGCCGUAA